rnacentral:rRNA from 1 species
GAUGAACGCUAGCUACAGGCUUAACACAUGCAAGUCGAGGGGAAACGGCAUUGAGUGCUUGCACUCUUUGGACGCCGACCGGCGCACGGGUGAGUAACGCGUAUCCAACCUUCCCAUUACUGUGGGAUAACCUGCCGAAAGGCCGACUAAUACCGCAUAGUCUUCGAUGACGGCAUCAGAUUUGAAGUAAAGAUUUAUCGGUAAUGGAUGGGGAUGCGUCUGAUUAGCUUGUUGGCGGGGUAACGGCCCACCAAGGCGACGAUCAGUAGGGGUUCUGAGAGGAAGGUCCCCCACAUUGGAACUGAGACACGGUCCAAACUCCUACGGGAGGCAGCAGUGAGGAAUAUUGGUCAAUGGACGGAAGUCUGAACCAGCCAAGUAGCGUGCAGGAUGACGGCCCUAUGGGUUGUAAACUGCUUUUGUAUGGGGAUAAAGUCAAUCACGUGUGAUUGUUUGCAGGUACCAUACGAAUAAGGACCGGCUAAUUCCGUGCCAGCAGCCGCGGUAAUACGGAAGGUCCAGGCGUUAUCCGGAUUUAUUGGGUUUAAAGGGAGCGUAGGCUGGAUAUUAAGUGUGUUGUGAAAUGUAGACGCUCAACGUCUGACUUGCAGCGCAUACUGGUUUCCUUGAGUACGCACAACGUUGGCGGAAUUCGUCGUGUAGCGGUGAGAUGCUUAGAUAUGACGAAGAACUCCGAUUGCGAAGGCAGCUGACGGGAGCGCAACUGACGCUUAAGCUCGAAGGUGCGGGUAUCAAACAGG